UCCCCUCUGGAGAACGGAUGGAGGGCAAAUGCAUCCCUGCUCAUGUCCUCAAACUUCUUGGAAGUACCUAGAGAAAGAGUGUGCGUGCCUCUAGCUUCAGUGUAGAUCUGAGAACAGGCAAGAAGACAAUCAAGGAUGAAGCUGGAGAAGUUCUACCUCAACAAAAUACGAAGCUGCCUCUUCUGUCAGUUGUACUUACAUUUUCCUGCUUUUAUGCUGAUAAAAUUCCACUGACGUCAGCUGUACCAAACCUUCAUGCUGGAUAAACGUGGGAGCAAGAAGAGAAUCGGGGUCAUACACAACAAACAAAUGUCAAUCAUCAGGGAAUAAGUGGGGUCCUUAGCCCGCUCAGAGGAAAGGUAAGUGGAAGGGCCUUUGUAUAACUUCCUGCAUGCUCAAAGGUAAUAUGUGGAUGGCUCCAGCUAAAUAAAAGUGCUUUUUUUUGCCUUCUUUUUAGCUUG
rnacentral:lncRNA from 1 species